rnacentral:rRNA from 1 species
CGCGCAGGUGGUUUCUUAAGUCUGAUGUGAAAGCCCACGGCUCAACCGUGGAGGGUCAUUGGAAACUGGGAGACUUGAGUGCAGAAGAGGAUAGCGGAAUUCCAAGUGUAGCGGUGAAAUGCGUAGAGAUUUGGAGGAACACCAGUGGCGAAGGCGACUGUCUGGUCUGUAACUGACACUGAGGCGCGAAAGCGUGGGGAGCAAACA